AUUGAACGCUGGCGGCAGGCUUAACACAUGCAAGUCGAGCGGGGGAAGGUAGCUUGCUACUGGACCUAGCGGCGGACGGGUGAGUAAUGCUUAGGAAUCUGCCUAUUUGUGGGGGACAACAUCUCGAAAGGGAUGCUAAUACCGCAUACGUCCUACGGGAGAAAGCAGGGGACCUUCGGACCUUGCGCUAAUAGAUGAGCCUAAGUCGGAUUAGCUAGUUGGUGGGGUAAAGGCCUACCAAGGCGACGAUCUGUAGCGGGUCUGAGAGGAUGAUCCGCCACACUGGGACUGAGACACGGCCCAGACUCCUACGGGAGGCAGCAGUGGGGAAUAUUGGACAAUGGGGGAAACCCUGAUCCAGCCAUGCCGCGUGUGUGAAGAAGGCCUUAUGGUUGUAAAGCACUUUAAGCGAGGAGGAGGCUACUUUAGUUAAUACCUAGAGAUAGUGGACGUUACUCGCAGAAUAAGCACCGGCUAACUCUGUGCCAGCCGCCGCCGUAA
rnacentral:rRNA from 1 species